rnacentral:rRNA from 1 species
UAGGGAAUCUUCGGCAAUGGGGGGAACCCUGACCGAGCAACGCCGCGUGAGUGAAGAAGGUUUUCGGAUCGUAAAGCUCUGUUGUUAAGGAAGAACGAGUGUGAGAAUGGAAAGUUCAUGCUGUGACGGUACUUAACCAGAAAGGGACGGCUAACUACGUGCCAGCAGCCGCGGUAAUACGUAGGUCCCGAGCGUUGUCCGGAUUUAUUUGGCGUAAAGCGAGCGCAGGCGGUUAGAAAAGUCUGAAGUGAAAGGCAGUGGCUCAACCAUUGUAGGCUUGGGAAACUGUUUAACUUGAGUGCAGAAGGGGAGAGUGGAAUUCCAUGUGGAGCGGUGAAAUGCGUAGAUAUAUGGAGGAACACCGGUGGCGAAAGCGGCUAUCUGGUCUGUAACUGACGCUGAGGCUCGAAAGCGUGGGGAGCGAACAGG